rnacentral:rRNA from 1 species
CCUACGGGGUGCAGCAGUGAGGAAUAUUGGUCAAUGGGCGUAAGCCUGAACCAGCCAAGUCGCGUGAGGGAUGAAGGUUCUAUGGAUCGUAAACCUCUUUUAUAAGGGACUAAAGUGCGGGACGUGUCCCGUUUUGUAUGUACCUUAUGAAUAAGGAUCGGCUAACUCCGUGCCAGCAGCCGCGGUAAUACGGAGGAUCCGAGCGUUAUCCGGAUUUAUUGGGUUUAAAGGGUGCGUAGGCGGACUGUUAAGUCAGCGGUGAAAGUUUGGGGCUGAACUAUAGAAUUGCCGUUGAAACUGGGGAGAUGGAGAGUGUAUGAGGGAGGAGGAAUGUAUGGUGUAGCGGUGAAAUGCU